GGGCCGUUAGCUCAGUUGGUAGAGCAGCGGACUUUUAAUCCGUUGGUCACUGGUUCGAAUCCAGUACGGCCUACCA
rnacentral:tRNA from 3 species